rnacentral:rRNA from 1 species
UAGAGUUUGAUCAUGGCUCAGGAUGAACGCUAGCUACAGGCUUAACACAUGCAAGUCGAGGGGAAACGGGGUUGAGUUGCUUGCAUUCUUCGGACGUCGACCGGCGCACGGGUGAGUAACGCGUAUCCAACCUUCCCAUAACUAAGGGAUAACCUGCCGAAAGGCAGACUAAUACCUUAUGUAAUUCUUAGAUGACAUCAGAAGAGAAUGAAAGAUUUAUCGGUUAUGGAUGGGGAUGCGUCUGAUUAGCUUGUUGGCGGGGUAACAGCCCACCAAGGCAACGAUCAGUAGGGGUUCUGAGAGGAAGGUCCCCCACAUUGGAACUGAGACACGGUCCAAACUCCUACGGGAGGCAGCAGUGAGGAAUAUUGAUCAAUGGGCGAAAGCCUGAACCAGCCAAGUAGCGUGCAGGAUGACGGCCCUAUGGGUUGUAAACUGCUUUUGUAUGGGGAUAAAGUCAAUCACGUGUGAUUGUUUGCAGGUACCAUACGAAUAAGGACCGGCUAAUUCCGUGCCAGCAGCCGCGGUAAUACGGAAGGUUCGGGCGUUAUCCGGAUUUAUUGGGUUUAAAGGGAGCGUAGGCCGGAGAUUAAGUGUGUUGUGAAAUGUAGACGCUCAACGUCUGACUUGCAGCGCAUACUGGUUUCCUUGAGUACGCACAACGUUGGCGGAAUUCGUCGUGUAGCGGUGAAAUGCUUAGAUAUGACGAAGAACUCCGAUUGCGAAGGCAGCUGACGGGAGCGCCACUGACGCUUAAGCUCGAAGGUGCGGGUAUCGAACAGGAUUAGAUACCCUGGUAGUCCGCACAGUAAACGAUGGAUGCCCGCUGUUGGUACCUGGUAUCAGCGGCUAAGCGAAAGCAUUAAGCAUCCCACCUGGGGAGUACGCCGGCAACGGUGAAACUCAAAGGAAUUGACGGGGGCCCGCACAAGCGGAGGAACAUGUGGUUUAAUUCGAUGAUACGCGAGGAACCUUACCCGGGAUUGAAAUGUACCUGACGAACUGCGAGAGUGGUUUUCCAGCAAUGGCAGGUAUGUAGGUGCUGCAUGGUUGUCGUCAGCUCGUGCCGUGAGGUGUCGGCUUAAGUGCCAUAACGAGCGCAACCCUGACUGUCAGUUGCUAACAGGUUAAGCUGAGGACUCUGGCGGGACUGCCGGCGUAAGCUGUGAGGAAGGUUGGGAUGACGUCAAAUCAGCACGGCCCUUACAUCCGGGGCGACACACGUGUUACAAUGGCAGGGACAAAGGGCAGCUACCGAGCGAUCGGAUGCAAAUCUCUAAACCCUGUCUCAGUUCGGAUCGGAGUCUGCAACUCGACUCCGUGAAGCUGGAUUCGCUAGUAAUCGCGCAUCAGCCAUGGCGCGGUGAAUACGUUCCCGGGCCUUGCACACACCGCCCGUC